rnacentral:rRNA from 1 species
UAAGAUCCGUAGUCGAAAGGGAAACAGCCCAGACCACCAGCUAAGGUCCCAAAAUAAUUGUUAAGUGGAAAAGGAUGUGGGGUUGCACAGACAACUAGGAUGUUAGCUUAGAAGCAGCUAUUCAUUCAAAGAGUGCGUAAUAGCUCACUAGUCGAGUGACCCUGCGCCGAAAAUGUACCGGGGCUAAAACAAUUUACCGAAGCUGUGGAUACCUUUAUAGGUAUGGUAGGAGAGCGUUCUAUGUGUGAUGAAGGUGUACCGUGAGGAGUGCUGGAACGCAUAGAAGUGAGAAUGCCGGUAUGAGUAGCGAAAGACAGGUGAGAAUCCUGUCCACCGUAAGACUAAGGUUUCCAGGGGAAGGCUCGUCCGCCCUGGGUUAGUCGGGACCUAAGGAGAGACCGAAAGGUGUAUCCGAUGGACAACAGGUUGAUAUUCCUGUACUAGAGUAUGUAGUGAUGGAGGGACGCAGUAGGCUAACUAAAGCAGACGAAUGGAAGAGUCUGUCUAAGCAGUGAGGUGUGAAUUGAGUCAAAUGCUUAGUUCUAUAACAUUGAGCUGUGAUGGGGAGCGAAGUUUAGUAGCGAAGUUAGUGACGUCACACUGCCAAGAAAAGCUUCUAGCGUUUAAACAUACUCUACCCGUACCGCAAACCGACACAGGUAGUCGAGGCGAGUAGCCUCAGGUGAGCGAGAGAACUCUCGUUAAGGAACUCGGCAAAAUGACCCCGUAACUUCGGGAGAAGGGGUGCUGACAGAGAUGUCAGCCGCAGUGAAUAGGCCCAGGCGACUGUUUAUCAAAAACACAGGUCUCUGCAAAAUCGAAAGAUGACGUAUAGGGGCUGACGCCUGCCCGGUGCUGGAAGGUUAAGAGGAGAGGUUAGCGCAAGCGAAGCUUUGAAUUGAAGCCCCAGUAAACGGCGGCCGUAACUAUAACGGUCCUAAGGUAGCGAAAUUCCUUGUCGGGUAAGUUCCGACCCGCACGAAAGGCGUAACGAUUUGGGCACUGUCUCAACGAUGGACUCGGUGAAAUCAUAGUACCUGUGAAGAUGCAGGUUACCCGCGACAGGACGGAAAGACCCCAUGGAGCUUUACUG